UGGCUCUGGCAUCGAUGAAGAACGCAGCGAAAUGCGAUAAGUAAUGUGAAUUGCAGAAUUCAGUGAACCAUCGAAUCUUUGAACGCACAUUGCGCCCGCCAGCACUCUGGCGAGCAUGCCUGUCCGAGCGUCAUUUCAACCCCUCAGGCCCCUCGGGCCUGGCGUUGGGGAUCGACCGAGCCCCUCGCGGGCGGUCGGCCCUGAAAUACAGUGGCGGCCCCGUCGCGGCUCCCCCUGCGCAGUAGCACACCUCGCAGAGGGCGGCGGCGGCGGCCACGCCCAACCCCCCACACCACAAGGUUGACCUCGGAUCAGGUAGGGAUACCCGCUGA
rnacentral:misc_RNA from 1 species